AUAAAUUAUGUAAUAUGCCAGGGAGAUAUGUAUACUGUAGCUAAGAAAGUAAUACUUAGUGUAUGUUGUGUAGUAAGCUGUUAGUAGCCCAUGUGCCCCACCCUAAUAAUUUGGUCUAUUUUCUUCUCUUAACUUUGCCUACUGUUCUGACUUGGUGGUGCACAUGUAGCCUAUAACCUGUUUUAGAGAAAUGUCAUCAUCAAAUAUUGUAAGAGCUUUCAUUGUCUGCUUAUAUGCCCCCUUUAUUUAUCCUAUGGUUCAGACUUGGUUUACAGGGAGAACACUGUAAGAACGGCCCAUGUUCUGAAUUCUGUCGCUGUACUGUUGGGACUCUGCUGUUGGGACAACUUUGUGUAGGCCCUAACAGUUUGUGGGCAACGUUUGUCACCAUUUUAGUGAAAUUAAUCUAUUGUUUAGUGUUGUGUUGUUGCUUUUCCGGCAUUCAUCCCUCUUUUUUUGGUUUAUCCCACCAAGCUUUACAUGCUAAAAUCGUCACGGGUUGUAAUAUUAACUUACCAUAUGUAUCCAUCUUUGCACACAUGCCAGUACAUUUUCUGAUAGGACACCUUGAGCAGGCCUUUCUUCUGGAGGUAUUUCACCUUUUAAGCUGUUUUUUUGGCUACAAUAUAUGACUUAGCACACGAGCUAUUUUCAAUUAAAAAUCCUUGGGUCAGGUAUUGGAUUUGGGUGCGCACUUUAAGAGUAAAAAUUUGUAUCCAGCUGGAAAUUGGACCAAAAAAAAGAGAGUUCACUUGUUCACAUGUUGUUUAACGUCAUCGAGGACAAAACGCAGUGACAGUCAACGCUGACCAAGGCCAACCAUGAAUGUCUUACAAACAAUGUAAGAAGAUGGCCUCAUCAGCAGAGAUUGAUGCCAUAACUGAAUUGGUAGAUGUCGAGAUCCCUAAGUAAGAUGUAUGGGAACCAACUGUGGUUGCUGUAGAUGAUUAUGUACCUCCCAUAGAUGGGGACAACGUUGACAAGAUGUGUGAGUCGGACAAUAGCUCAGAUUUUUCAAGCUCAGACGGCUCGUCAUCCACUGACAGUGAAUAUGAAAAAAAGAAGAAGAAGAAGAAGGGGAAAAAAGGAAACAGCUAAAUCCAGAGGACUCGAGACCACAGCAGCGAUCCUGCUCUUGCUCUACUUCUUCAAUGAGGACCCGUGAUGUCCUUGGCAAGAUUUUACCGCUCCCUACUCCUUUACUGCACAUCGGCGGAAAUCCAUUUCACCAUGAGAGUGAAAUCAUGCUGGCCUUUGAUGGGGAGAACAUCCACGCCUUCGAGGACGUCCCCUUGGGACUUGGGGCUCUGCUAGGGCUGUAUUUUUUAUUCUCAGUUAAAUUUCCCCAAAAUGUCAGAAAAACACUUAUGUUCUUAAGUUACUGUGUUCUGGGGAUAAGAGAAGUUGGGUGAAGUUACCAAGGGCCGGUCAUAGAGAUGGCAAACUUGCAAACUUCCUAACAUAACUAAGUGGUUGUUGGGCAAGUGGUUGUUGGACACACACACACACAAAAGCAAAAAAAGCUGUAUUUAGCAUCACGUCUACAAUAUUGUUAGUUUACCUAUGAUUCAUUUUUAACGUUUGUUGUUUUUGUUGUACAACAUUAUUUUAUAAACAAAUUAAUUGUAAUGAAAAGCACUAUACAAAGUACAUUUAUUAUUUAUAAUGGUCUGACAUGCCUGCAAAAAUGUUGCAAUUUUGUAACAUGUUUUGUUUGAUCAAUUGUUUUGUAAAUAUGAAUUCACAUUUGUGGUGCCACUAAAUAAACAAUGAGUUAUUUAAAUCCAUGUUGUCAAUAUUGUUAUAAUUAUUAAAAUAUUGGAAAGGUAGUUAAACAAAUGAACCCCAAAAGGUUCUUAGAGGAACCAUUAUAAGGGGUUCUUCGA
rnacentral:lncRNA from 1 species